rnacentral:misc_RNA from 1 species
UGAAGUACAAGGGCCAGUAAACCUGACUUAUCUUAGUGGGACAGACCAGCUGACCAGGAUUUCAUCAUCAAUGUCAGAUAAGUCAAGCCUGCUUGUGAAGGAAUUCAAGUCUCUGAGACAAUAUGUAUGGUUAGCCAAGUUGAAGAGAGGAAAACAAUUACCGUCCAUAUUGGUGACAUCGUGGAACAGUGUGAAUUCAGCCUCUAACAGUGUAUUUAGCCUGAAAAACCGGUUCAACAUGGAAAUUGUCAAGGAGCAAAUUAGUCGGGGUUUAUCAGUUGAGGAUGAGAAAAGUGUGAUAGAGGAGGUAGCAUGUAGUGGGGAUAUCCAUAAGAGUAUCAGGAUGACGAGGAAAUCCAAAAAGGCUGUCCCCCAAAGUGAUCAGAUUAAAGAAGAAGUGGACAAACUGUUAGCAUUAAAAUGCCAGAUAAAAGGGGAUGCUCCGUCAACAAAGAAUUUUGUCCUGAAAUGUCCAAAGGGCACAAAAGAUUACACUCCCAUACAGAUGGCAAUUAGGGAGAGUGUAUUCAACACUAUUGUUGCAACCUUCAAACGCCAUGGAGCAGAAACCAUCGACACACCUGUAUUUGAGCUUAAGGAAACACUAACAGGGAAGUAUGGUGAAGACUCCAAGUUGAUUUAUGAUUUAAAGGAUCAAGGGGGAGAACUCUUGUCCCUCCGAUAUGAUCUGACAGUGCCAUUUGCACGCUAUCUAGCCAUGAAUAAAGUAUCGAAUAUCAAGCGCUACCACAUAGCGAAGGUGUAUCGCCGAGACAACCCAGCCAUGACACGUGGCCGGUUCAGGGAAUUUUACCAGUGUGACUUUGACAUAGCAGGACAGUACGACCCCAUGAUACCUGAUGCUGAGUGUAUAAAGAUUGUAACAGAAAUAUUAUCCAAAUUAGAACUUGGAGAUUUUGUUAUCAAGGUGAACCAUAGAAAGUUGUUAGAUGGUAUGUUUGCUGCUUGUGGAGUACCAGAUGAGAAAUUCAGAACAAUUUGUUCCUCCGUAGACAAACUGGACAAGACAUUCUGGGAGGAUGUACGGACAGAGAUGAUCGAAGAGAAAAAACUCGACCCGGAAGUGGCAGAUAAAAUUGGGAUAUAUGUCAAGCUCCAAGGUGGCCAAGAUCUGAUAGAGAAGUUGUUGGAAGACGAGGCCAUUAAGAGCCAGAAGGCUGCGGUGGAAGGCCUCCAGGAUAUCAGCCUUCUCCUUAAGUACUGUAAGCUGUUCGGCAUCUCCGAUCACGUCAGCUUUGACCUGAGUCUAGCCCGCGGCCUCGACUACUACACUGGUGUCAUCUACGAGGGAGUCCUUAAAGGUUUUACCCAUGAUCCUAAUGCAAAGAAAGGGGAUGAGUCUGUGUCUGUCGGGAGUGUGGCUGGAGGUGGACGAUACGAUGGUCUGGUCGGCAUUUUUGACCCAAAAGGUCGUAAAGUACCAUGUGUUGGUGUCAGCAUCGGUAUAGAACGUGUGUUCGCCAUCAUGGAAGCUCGGGCCAUUGCAGCCAAGACAAAGAUCAGAACAACAGAAACUGAGGUGUAUGUUGUGUCGGCUCAGAAAGGGUUGCUGGAGGAGCGCCUAAAACUCUGUCGAGAGCUCUGGGAUGCCAAUAUUAAGACUGAGCAAGCUUACAAGGCCAAUCCCAAACCACUGAACCAGUUCCAGUACUGUGAGACAUCAGGUAUACCUCUGGCAGUCAUCAUAGGCCAGUCAGAGAUAGAGAACCAGUAUGUAAAGCUGAGCAACACCAUCACACGGGACGAGGUAAGUACACAUCAGGUAUACCCCUGGUAUUCAUCAUAGGCCAGUCAGAGAUAGAGAACCAGAACGUAAAGCUGAGAAGCACCAUCACACGGGACGAGGUAAGUACACAUCAUGUAUACCCCUGGUAGUCAUCAUAGGCCCGUCAGAGAUAGAGAACCAGUAUGUAAAGCAGAGAAACACCAUCACACGGGACGAGGGAGGUACACAUCAGGUAUACCCCUGAUAGUCAUCAUAGGCCAGUCAGAGAUAGAUAACCAGUAUGUAAAGCUGAGAAACACCGGCACACGGGACGAAGUAGGUACACAUCAGGUAUACCCCUGGUAGUUAUCAUAGGCCAGUCAGAGAUAGAGAACCAGUAUGUCAAGCUGAGAAACACCAUCACACGGGACGAGAAAAACAUACCAAGAGACCAAAUGAUUGCAGAAAUAAAGUCUGAGUUGGAGAAGAUGACGUAGGAAUGUGACACGAGU